rnacentral:tRNA from 3 species
GGAGACGUGGCUGAGUGGCUUAAAGCAACGGUUUGCUAAAUCGUCGUACCCUGUAAGGGGUACCCAGGGUUCGAAUCCCUGCGUCUCCGCCA